AAUUGCCAACUGAUAGGUCGAAACAACAACAACGCGUCAACAGUUAAAUAAUCCAAUAUUAAACAACUAAGCGUAUUGAAUAACCCUACUUUUAUGACAAGGCUAGCAAAUUUUUUAUACUUGUUAUAAUAAGGAGGACUUAAUUUCACUAGUUCACCUUGUAUUAUCCGUUUCCAGAUAUCAAUCUAGUACAAAAUGACAACCCCAUUUGAGAGAUUGAAUGAUGCCUUAGGCCAUCUUGUAUUAAACGAAGAAGGAGCAGUUACAAGUUCAGGUGGAGACUUGGAGAACAAGGAAGAUAUGGCACAAAAGUUCCUCCACCUUGUAAGAACAGCCUUGAGAAUUCCAACCAGCCAUAAGGAUAAGUUCAAAAGACUAUCAGUUGUCUGGGACAGCUUCAUGUACGUGAUCACGGUCUCCAAUCACAAGAUCUACAUCUGCAAGAAACAGUUUGUCCCCACUGAGCCCGUCACAGCUUGACCUCGACCUUGGGGAUGUAGCAAAUUAUACUCAUUAACUAAAUGCCUUUACCACUCAGGUAAACCUAUUGACAUGUUUGUAAUCCCUUUGAAUUUUCAAAAUCAAAUCAUUUUCAACCCUAAGAUACCGAUGAGCAGCAAACAGCAUAAAACCUGAAUAACUUGCAGGCUGUUCUGGUUUUAUGCUGGUAGCAUAAAGGCAUUUUUAACCAGGUUUUCCGAAGGAAAAAACUGGUUAUUAGAUUGGCGAAUGCGGGCGGGCUGGCUGGCGGGCUGGCUGGCUGGCGGGCUGGCGGAAUAAGCUUGUCCGGGCCAUAACUAUGUCGUUCAUUGUCAGAUUUUAAAAUCAUUUGGCACAUUUGUUCACCAUCAUUGGACGGUGUGUCGCGCGAAAUAAUUACCUCGAUAUCUCCAAGGUCAAGGUCACACUUUGAGUUCAAAGGUCAAAAAUGGCCAUAAAUGAGCUUGUCCGAGCCAUAACUAUGUCGUUCAUCGUCAGAUUUUAAAAUCAUUUGGCACAUUUGUUCACCAUUAUUGGACGGUGUGUCGCGCGAAAUAAUUACGUCGAUAUCUCCAAGGUCAAGGUCACACUUUGAGUUCAAAGGUCAAAAAUGGCCAUAAAUGAGCUUGUCCUGGCCAUAACUAUGUCAUUCAUUGUGAGAUUUUAAAAUCAUUUGGCACAUUUGUUCACCAUCAUGGGACGGUGUGUCCCACGAAAGAAUCACGUCAAUAUCUCCAAUGUCAAGGUCGCCACGACUAAAAAUAGAUUUAAAAAAAAAAAAAAAACUUACAAAGGGGGUUAAUUUUUUUUUAGUCAUUUCAAAAGUUCAGUUUGAGUUUUCUCCCUUUAUCAGAUUGUUUUUUUUCACAAUGAAAACCUGGUUUUGUGACAAUUUUGUCCCUUGUCAAUUUUCUUCUGAGUGGGAAAGGGAUAACACUCUUGCAUAAACUGGUACAUUUCACUAAAAUCAUGUAGUAUAGACUGGAUGAUAAGCAACGUCAUGCCGAAAUGGGUCUCAUGCAAAAUAUAGUCAGCGUUGCUCCAACACAGCCUGCGCAUCCGGCCAGUCGGGUAAGGAGUGCCUAUAAAAUCCUUGUGUGACUUUUAAGCUGAAAGGGUAGCUCCUGACCAGACUGCGAAAAAUACUGUACAUAACAAUGUAUUUAUAUAAUCUUUUAAUUAGCAAAGUUUGUGUGACAACAAAGAAAAAAGUCAGUAAGAACUUUCAUGUUGUAGACUUAUUUUUGUUUUUUAACAUUUUCCGUUAUUGUAAUGACAGUUAUGCUAGCAAGUAUAGAGAGAAUAAGCUAUUGUUCAUGAUAUAUCUUGACCAACUUUAAAGUAAAUUAAAAAUAAUUAUAAUACUCCGAAAUAUUUAAAUUUAAACCAUGCACAAAAUAUAAUCAUUUUAACUAUUGCAAAAAACUUUGUUCAAUAAUGUUAAAAUAAAAUAAUAAAUGCAGUAUUGUUGGUUAUAGGCCAGGUAAACAAUUGCGUCAUUAUGAGUCUGUUAAGCCAAGAAAGCAAUUCAACUUCUAUGCAUUAAUCCCAUGGGUCAUUGUUUAUUGUUUUAUUUACAACAAUAAUUCAAAAUGUGACCCUCAAGAACUUUUUAUUUAUCAAUAUUAUAUAUAAGAACAGCAUCUUCUUUUGUCAUGUGUUGUAAAUAACUUUCAUGUCCCAAAAACAUUGCUAUACAUGUAUAUGUAUUUAUCAUCUGUUCAUAUCUAUUUAUAUAAAAUUGGUUUUAAUUAUAUAUAGAAACAACUGAAACAAGAGGAUAUAAGUAAAAAUGUUAACUCUUUAAGCUUAUACAUGUUCCAUGUCUAGUUGUCCAUUGAAACAAAAUCGUAUAUGAAUAAUAUUAUUAAAGCUUUAUAAUUAGUUCAGUAUAAUAUAGAAAACUCAUUGGCAUAUGUGUUAUUAGAUGUUAGUUGUUUCUGGUAAUUUAUUACUUUUAAAAUUAUAUUCAUGUUUGCUUGGUAUCAAUGGAAUUAUUUUAUAUAUGUGCACAAUAAUAUAAUGUAUUAUAACACGAAAAAUAAAUAAAUUGGUUUGUUUCUA